rnacentral:rRNA from 1 species
GUCGCCUCCUAAAAGGUAACGGAGGCGCUCAAAGGUUCCCUCAGAAUGGUUGGAAAUCAUUCAUAGAGUGUAAAGGCAUAAGGGAGCUUGACUGCGAGACCUACAAGUCGAGCAGGGUCGAAAGACGGACUUAGUGAUCCGGUGGUUCCGCAUGGAAGGGCCAUCGCUCAACGGAUAAAAGCUACCCCGGGGAUAACAGGCUUAUCUCCCCCAAGAGUUCACAUCGACGGGGAGGUUUGGCACCUCGAUGUCGGCUCAUCGCAUCCUGGGGCUGUAGUCGGUCCCAAGGGUUGGGCUGUUCGCCCAUUAAAGCGGUACGCGAGCUGGGUUCAGAACGUCGUGAGACAGUUCGGUCCCUAUCCGUCGUGGGCGUAGGAAAUUUGAGAGGAGCUGUCCUUAGUACGAGAGGACCGGGAUGGACAUACCUCUGGUGUACCAGUUG